UGUAGCCACUCCUAAAUGGCCUGGUAAACUGUUAACAUCCUAAUUGCAUAUUAACUUCAGAUAACUUUAAGUCUGCUCUUUGGAAUUUUGAAGAUCUGGUGAUAUGCUUUGAACUACAGGAGUUGGCAGUACUACCUAUUUGUCAAAUAUGCAUCCUUGAUAUGUUACAGUACAACUGCUGGAUCUAAUUCUACUGCAAAAUGAGGAAUGUAUUAAUAGCAUGCUUUCAAGGUUUGGUACAGUCAGAUAUCCUCAGGUAUUGAACCCAAAACCCAAAGUAUUUGUAUGCACUUGGAGUCACUGAAUUAAUAAGCGAGGCAACGAAGCACAUCUCCCUGUCUGAGGGCCGUAACUUACUGACUUGAAACCGAUCUUCAGCCUUGUAUACUCCAUAAUGAAAAAUGCAAUGCUUGAUUCAAUGCGGAAGAACUGCUCUCCGCCACCCCAAAGUCCUCUAUGAAAUGGAAUAAGGAAACAAGUGACUGAAGGUUUCUCAGUCAACCUUGCUUCUCAGAAGGAGCAACAAAAGUCUAUCUUCAAUUUCACUCAUAGAAACUGAUCUCCUUAAGGUUGGACUGCCAAAGGCAUUUGGGUUUCCUCUAGGCACAGAGUGACCAGCGGAGGAGGGCAGAAUGAGGAACAGGGCUGCACUGACCCCCACAGUCCUACUGCAAGAUAUAACCUAUCCCUGAAGCAAAAUCGCCAAAACAUGGGUGAAGAACACACUGAAAUCUUAUUUAUAUGUAGGGUGAUUAGCUAUUUUAUUUACUUGUCUUUUUUAUAUAACCUAUUUAAAAGGAAAGUGUUUAUCUAGUUGAUUUUACAGAGGCAGAGAUUACACUGAUAAUUAGUUGUUUCUAUUUCUGCCAACACUCUCUCCAUGCUAAUAUUUUAAUGUCUGUAAUUUUCAUAAAAGAAGGACAUGCAGCAUGCCAUCUGAUCUCCCACAGACUCAAAUUCUCUCCUGCCUUCAUGCACCGCCUCUGUGCACUCCCUGGCAAUAAAGGUUUUUCUCAAUAUGGUAGCAUGAAUCACUGUUGAUGAGCAUAGCUAAUAAUGUCAGAUUCACAGAAGGCAGAAGCAAUGUCUCUUAUUUUACUAGUGUCCUCAGGACAUGGUUCAGCAACCGGAUAAGAGUGAAAAAGAUGUAAAACUAGGCACACAGCUGAGCAUAAUAAGGACAAAAAAAUAAGGCAAAAUCCCAGAAGAGAUUUGAGGAAAUCCAAAUAUUAGUCUUAUCAACACACCCCAUGCUGUCAAAAUAGAGAACAAAAGGAUAUUCAUUUUUUUAAUAUUUUCCUCUUCCUUCUUGCCACAUAUGUUGUACCGCUGUGUUGUGCUAACCACCCAUAUGGCUCCAGAUACAAAAAUAUAUACUUACCAGCAUCCUACAAUAACACACCUCAGAAGAUUAAUUUGGGUCCAGUAGUGUGAUCAUUUUAUAAUUACGUGUUUAGUCACAGUAACUAGAGUGCAUGAGGACAAUUUCUAACAAAAUACUGAUACUCUGCAUCUUCUGAAUAUCAAUGAAAUAAUCAAGAAGUUAGCAAUCUAAAUAGAAGUUAAAAGUCUAAUUAUGUUGUCACCGUAUCUUAAUACUGAACAGUUUUCUGACAGUAUAUGAUCUGUGAUUAAUGGGCAUAAUUAUGGAAAUCAGGGUAUAUAGAUUUCAGAUUAUUUGUUUCGGCAAUCAGCACCUAUUUCUAAAAAAAUAAAUUUCUUUUUUAGUUUGUAUAUAUCUUAUCAUGUAUGCUUAGAUAUUCCAAAGAAAUUGCUAGUCAAAUUUCAAUGAAUGCCAUUCCAAAAUACAGGAAGCACAAGAUAUAGACCUGAACUUUGCAUGUGGGUACAAAAAGACAGAAAGAAGCAACCAAGAUCACUGCUGAAAGUUUGAAAGCAUAAAUUCAGCUGUGAAUCAGCACUUAUCCAACAUUUGAGAAGACUAAUUGCUUUUGCUUUUUUGCAUGAGCAAUUUGUAUGUAUCCAAGGUUAGGUAGUUCAAAUGCUACUAGUUCUGUUGUGUUUUUUUCAAGCCAGCAGACUAACACCAGUUAGUACAUGUGAGCUAGAGGUGCAUUACUGAAACCAAAACCAGAAAAGUUCUCCUAAAAACUAAUGAAGCAAAACAACAAAUGCAGAACAUUUUAAUUUUCCAGUCUGAGAAGUUUUGUUCCAAAUUGUAUGUGAAUUGCUUUGGGAAUGAAACUUUUGAAGGCAAAAUGUAAUUUUCCUACCUAAUGCAGGUAAUUUUUCCUAUAGAUGGAGCAUGUUGGAGUAAUAGCUAUAUACGAAUAUUUAAUGUAAAAACGUUAAAGAUUUUCUGCUGUUUUGGUUUCCUGGGAUAUUUAUUUAUUUAUUUGCCCAGUUUAUUAUAUUAAUAGGACACCCUGUUGCUUGGUGAUGUUUUUCCACAUAACUUUACUAUCAGAAUGAUAUUAAACACAUCAUUUAUUCACUUAAACUUUGUUUCCUGAACUUCAUUUUGAAAAUUAAAAUUUCUCUUUUAUACUUGCAGUAUUAAAAAAUAAGUACUUAGUUUUCUUUUCAAGCUUGCCAGCUAAUCAAUUUGGCCAGAUGUCAAGCAAUCUUGUGUUUAUAGAGAAAAAUAAAGGCAAGAGCAAAAUACCUUCAAUUUAUCCACAACUUUUAUGCAAAAGCUGUAAUAAUGUGCUUCUGAAAUUAUUGUAUUAAUUGAGAAAGCAUAAAUGCUAAUGACAAUUUGAGAAGCAGCAGGGUAUUGUGCCAGUUCAGAAUUAUAACAUGCCUUCAAAAUAAUGCUCUUGUAGAAUCUAGUGCAAUGUUCAUUGAAAUGAAAGUGAGUUUCUAAAAUGCAGUAGGUUCUAUUUCUUGUGUAAUAAAUGCGUGUGUAGUAUCUCUGGAAAACCAUAAGAACCAACACCUGAGAAAAUGCAGCCUUCCCUUUCACAGACAUUCUAGUAAUAAAUAAAAAUACAUGCUAUGAUAUAU